rnacentral:lncRNA from 1 species
GGCCCCAGCGGCAGGCGGCGCGGUCCCCGCGGGCGCCCGGGCGUGCGGAGUGUGCCUCCUUGGCGGUGUAGACGGCGCAGUCUACACCGCAGCCCCCCGUUCCGCGGACUUCUAUUGCUCACCCGCCGUGGAAGAGCCACUGAGGAGAACGGAAGAGAGUCAAAGAGGAAUCAAAGAGUCGGCUUAAAAUGUAGCAGGGGAGAUAGAAUUCGUAGGAGUUGCCACUGAAAGGAAGGAGAAGGAGCCUUCAGGGACAGCAGCGGAGACGUGUGCCAGAGAGGCGCAGUGUGGCCAGAAUCUGCAACUGACUGGCAGACAGAAACGCAGACAUGAGCCAAGUGCUCCGAGAUCUACCAGCCAAGGGCUCGAGCUGUCCAGGAAAACCUUGCAUACAAGAGAGACCACACUAAGACACCUCCAGUGCGGCCUACAGAUCUGAUCAAUAACGUCACUGUGGCUGUAUUUAACUCCCCUGGGGACACACUGAAGGUUUCCAGCUAGUUUGUUUUUCCUACAGGUCACACAGAGUGGGGAAAGGUGGAGAUAAGGGCACACAAUGGGCAUUAUUUUAAAGAUUCAUUCAUUUAACAAUAGCACAUAGUAGGCACUGUUCUAGUUGCUUGGAUACAUCAAUGAACCAAUCAGGCAAGUUGUAUCUUAGAAGGUGACAGAUGUUCUGGAAAAAAAAAAAAAAAUAGAACAGGACAGGCUGGGAGGGAGCCACUGAGGGAGACUUCUAGGAUGCUAUGAAAAUCCUAUAUCUUGGGAUGCCUGGGUGGCUCAGUGGUUGAGCAUCUGCCUUUGGCUCAAGGUGUGAUCCCGGAGUUCCCGCAGGGAGCCUGCUUCUCCCUCUGCCUGUGUCUCUGCCGCCCUCUGUGUGUCUCUCAUGAAUGAAUAAAUAAAAUCUUAAAAAAAAAAAAAAAGUAAGU